GUGCUCACUUCAGCAGCAUGUAUGUUAAAAUUGGAACAACACAAAGAUUUGCAUGGCUCCCCCAAGGAUGACACACAGAUUCAUGAAGCAUUUCAUAUUUUG
ensembl:snRNA U6 U6 spliceosomal RNA